GGAAACCUUAGACUCACCAGCGGUAAAAGGCCAGCGCCGCAUCCUCUUCGCUCGAUCCUCUCCUCUCGUCCCCGCCGCCCGCUCCUCCUGCCCUCCUCCACCACCGACACCUCCGACCGCCAUCGCGGCCAGCAGCCCCAGCAGUCGAACCACCACAGCAAGCGCAAGAAGAAGCCUCAGGCGCCGCCCCCACUCUCCCCCGCGCCGAGGACUCCCGUCCGCCGCGCCGGCGCCGGGACACCCAAGAAGAGCCCCGCCCUGGCCGCGCCCACCACCGACGCCAAGGACAGGCUCAUCGCGUCCAAGGACCACCAACAUCGGUUCGGCGGCAGCUCGAAGAAGGCGGCUGUGCAGGAGCGCGCGCGGCCGGCGUCGUCGUGGGAGCAGUUGAAGAGCCUGCUGAGCUGCCGGAGCACGACGGUGGCCGCGGCGUGCACGACCAGGCGGCCCCGGCGCCGGGGACUACUGGGGGACGUUGCUCUGCUCCAUGUUCUACGUGGCGACCGGCCGACCGUCGACGGCGCCUCCUACGCCGCGUCCGUCGUCGUCGACCGCCCCGGUCAACCGCUCCUCCCACCGCGCCCACCACUCGUCGUCAUCCGCCGGGCGGUGGCGGCAAGCACCCGUCCUCCCUUCGUGGACUCUCCGGCUGCUACGAGUGCCGCGCCAUCAACGUCGAGCCCGUGUCAAGGAGGUACCCUCGGCCGAGGGAGCUGUGCCCGUGAGGUGUUCACCAAGGCCGAGAGCUUGAAGCAGCACCAAGCCGUUCGCCAUGCUGGUAAAUUCUCGAAACCCCGAACCCCGCCUGCAUCGAUCGAUACCAUCCUGUAGUAUUAUCACGACAAUUUAACCUGUCACAAUGAUGAGAAAGGAGAGCCUGACAGGUUAAGGUUUGGGAUACCACGCCGGUAAAUCAAACUAAUCUAUCACCUUAACCGGUCAAAGACAUACCAUCCUGUCACAAUGACUCUGUAGACAUUGCCUUUGUCGUUGCGUGCAACAUUAACAGCUAUAUAAUAUGUGGCAGGAAACUAUGUGAUACAUAUCAUGAGAAACGGGAGUUUGUAGUUGCCGUGGUUCUGAAGAUGUAGUUUCAGAAUGUAGUUAUUUUGUGUCCAUCAAGAUUGCUGCUGUUACAUGUAAUUGUCAUGUGAAAUAUGUUGCAGGGUACCUUCACAAGACAACCUUGCAGUCUGAAGACAUAAUCCAGAAAAUCAACACAUAUUCUUGGAGCUUGGAUGAUGAGGCUGAGUAUCAUGCAUUGAUGCUAUGUUUCAUCUAUGUGUGAUAAUGGAGUACCUCUUAGUAGUUUGCCUUCGGUAGGCAGGUGUUUUUUGUCUAAGUUCAAGCCUUCAUUGUGAAGUAUUUAUAAUUUCCAGCUUAUAAAUUUGUACGUUCACACCUUCCCAAGACCACAAUCAGACUAAGAAGAUGCCUAAAUAAGCUGUGAGGCUGCGUAUAUAUAAGUGUUUCUGUAAACCGAUCUAAAUCAUUCUACUAUCCGUACAACUAUCUUCAAUACAAUUGGCAUUGCAUUAUAUUUCUAGCUACAUCUCCUACUUACUCAGUACUAACAUCACUUCUAACUGGCGUCACGGUCGAGUGGAAGGGUGUCCCUGGUGACGUCACGGACAAGCCAGGAGAAGGACGACGCCCGGGUUUGGCCCCGGGCCUCUGGGGAGUUGGUGAUGGCGUCAUGGUAGACCCGGGCCUCGGGGCAGUUGGGGAAGGUGUCAUGGGGGCCCGAGCCUCCUCCUCGGACAAGGCUGCGACGAUCUGAGCUCCGGUCGAGGCGACACUCCCUCGCUCGGCUGUGCGUUCGCCCGGCCAGUGUGGUGCAGCAGCAGUAGCGACCACCACUGCCAAGGAGCUCCAGCAAGCAUGUGCACAUGCUCUCCUUGCCCCUGAGCUCCUGCAACAACAACAUCAACAACAACGUGUGGUUGUUUGGUUCCACUUGCUGUGUUCAACAGAAACUGACAUCCAACACUGCUAUUCUAAGGUGGUUUAAUGAGGAACAGGAGGAAAUUGUUGUAGAACUGGGAUUAAAGCAUGUAAGAGUGUUGAUGGAUGCGACUCGGAGCAGGCCUCGGCUUGCACCUAAUGUGUGGGCAUAUGCAACUGAAGUUGAUGAAGCAAAGCUGAUGCAAGAUCAGAUGAUUCUGAAGCAGCGGCAGGUGCAGAGGCUCAUUCGAGGAGCGCCAGUAGGCGACCGAUGCGUUGCUCUCCCGUCGUUCUUUCUUCGUCAGGAAAGGCGCAGCCUGCUACUCAAGCCCCUCUCCUUCGCUCCUUGCAGAGCAGGAGAGGCAUGGGCGCCACCACACUCGGGAGACGAGGACGAGGUGGCCGCCGCUGCACCCCCACGCCGUGGACGCGAAGAGACCCAUCCUCUCUGCCCUCGAUAACCACUUCGGCGGCAGCAGCAAUGGCCUCUUCGUGGCAGGGCAGACCGCAGGGUCGUCUUCCUCUCCGGCCUCUUCCACACCAUCAGAUUCAGGCCCUCUCCCUCUGCAUCUCUGUAAAAAUAUGUGUCAGGGUGUUCAAAAUUUUCUUCUUCUAGGAAUGAUUGAGUUCACUCUUCUUCCUGAGCCGUUGGCUGUUGGCCGUGUGGAAGGUACCUUCCUUUUCCUUGUUUGCAUCUAUGAUUUUAUAGCAUUCAGACCAUGGUUCCCUUUCUAUUACUUUGGUUGAUAGUAUUAUAUUUAGUGCUAAAGCUGCAGCCUGCUCCCUGCAUACAACCUGUGGGAAACAAAACUGGAACUACUGUGGAUUUUUUCCGAUUGUUUGCUGCCUAGACUCCUAUACGUAGAGGGUGUGCUGCAAAUUUUCAAUUCUAUAACGUUCAGACCAUGGUCCCCUUUCUGUUACUUUGUUAGUGCAUUCAGACUAUGGUAUGUGUUCCAUAAACCGUACAAAAAAUGGAUAGCCUGCCUGAAACUGCGUUCUUUUAAUCGUUCAUUACAAUCAUUGUUCGUCUGGAAGGAUUCAUUAACUUCCUUUUUAAUGGUGUUCUGUAGCAUGUCAGCUACCGGGGGAAUGAGAAUCUGUAGCAUGCCACUACUAUGCUUACCACCAACAAAGCCAAGGUCUCAUCUUUGAAAGAUUAAGGUUACUUUGCAGGGAGAUGAGACCCAUACCGAGACAUGACAAAUGGAUGGAUACAGAGCUAGCUAGGCGCACAACACUAUAAUAAACUUUGCACUGAAACUUUGGUAAUCAACAAUACAUAGAAACAUGUUGGCCCCUCUUCAUUUGUGCCCUUAGUAAAUUCAAAUUUGGUAGUGGCACUGCAUGCCUAAAACUCUCCUGUAGGUUGGUUCAUUGAUUUAGAUUGAUACAAUUGUCCAAGAAGCCAAUUAAUUGAUUUGGAAUCUAUUGUGGUGCAUUAUCUAAGCUUGAAUUGUUAGUGUCGUUUAAAAAUAUCUCUUGCUUUUAAAGUAGUAUUAGUAAAAUGGCUAAAGCGCGCAUGAGAGUCUAAAUCAGUUUAAAUCAUAACAGUCUCUUGUUUUCUUCAAAGAAUUUUCUGGUUGCAUAAAUAAGUCGUGAGGAAGAUUUGGAUGCAAGCACCCAUCUUUCAUGAGAGAGACCUAUGUUGUACAUUUGAAUUCUUCUAUGUUUAUACUCUGCCAAGUUAUCUCAAGCAUAUGAUUUUACUUUGGUACAUGUUGAUUAUAUAACUGGAUGCAUAUGCAUAAAUCAAGGAUAAGCAGCAGAAGGACAAGUUGUAUUUCUCGAGAUGUUCUCUUCUUUAUUUUACAUGUUAAAGCAUGGACCUUCUUGCUCAGGUUUCAGAUUUCUCAACCAUACUUCCAUGCAAAUAUUAAUUCUUGACUCGUUAUUCAGUAACCUCGCACAUGUCCAUUUUCUAUCUAUAUCGUCAGUAUUAAACUUCAUACAUAACUCCUUAUAUUCUUAGGUUUAGAACAUUGCAAAUCAGGGUAGGCGGUGCAUUUGGAAGGUUCAUAUUCUAUUCAAAAGCAUUUCAUCGAUAGUCAAAUGCUUCACAGUAGAAUAUGCUACCUCAUUUUUUAGGUGUCCUAAGGUUCAUAUUUCGUUGCGUUAUCAAAAGCAGCAUGUUUUAUUGUUUUAGUUAGCAUUGCACUAAUCAAAGACCACAAAAAAUACACGUGCGCGCCCUUAAAGAACCGCGCCUAUAUAGAUGUCGCGUACUGAACCAUAGAUAUAUAUAUUCUCCUUGCAUAUACAUUUCUUUCUACUCAAUAUUGUAUGUAGAUGUCCAUCUGUAGAUAAUGUGGCCCAUAGAAUGUGAUAUGUUCUUUUAUCUUGGAACCAAUUUAUGUAGCGAGGCCGACGAUUUGACUAUAACAUUAUUUCUCCUUCGACUGAAUACUGCAUCUUUUUUGCAAUUGUCCCAAAUGUUUUAUAGCUCCUAAGUUGCGUGUCAUUGAAGCCAGUUGGAAAAUAUGAUGUGUCUUAAGAUAAUCAUAACAUAACUGAAUAUAUCAAGCAUGCUAAUGGCAUUAGAUUAACUUUCGAGGAAUAUGACAGGAGACGAUGACCGCUACCAUGAUUUUAUGGCACCUUAGUAGGAGACGAUGACCGCUACCAUGAAUAGGUUUAAAUGUCGCAUGGCUUCCAUUGAACAGAACCAAGAUAGAAAACAACUGUGCAUAAACUUAUAACAUAAACUGUUGCUGCUUUGUUGGUUUUAUCGAGGAUGUUUUCUUCAAGCAUGUGCUAAUCACGCGCUAUUUUCUUUUUUCACUUUCAUUAUUCCUCCGGCUCAAGUGAUAGCCACAUUCUGAAAGGAGCGAGGGUUGACAACCCGAUCUACAACAGCGACGAUCCAGGCCUUCCAAACGCAGUGUACUCAACACAGAAGGCAAGGACGGUUGGUCUUGACGCAACCAUUCACUAUCCAUCAAAGCACCAACUAGACAACCGACUUCCAAGGAAAUCAAUAUCCAUCUACGUGUACGGUAAACUCAAAGAAGCUGAAGAUCGACCGGCAACUGAAGCUCUCAAGUAGUCUUAAGUGAAGUGAAGGAACUUUACCGCAUAAUAGAUACAAACUUCACAGCAAGAUCAACACCCAAAGCCAACAGUUUGAAACAUAUUUUGUCACAGAUAAGAUAUGUUGCUGAUCGUCUUAACGAUACAAUCAAAAGCCGAUAUAUAGAAAACAAACAAAUAUUAUUGGAGCCUGGACGAUGGUAUCGAAGGAAUUUCUGCUCUGAGCAAUGCAGGCCAUGAAGAACAGCAGCUAUAAAGACUUGCCUCAAAGAGAUCAUUCUAAACAUCCAGCAAUACAUCUGUCUAAUGUAGCUCUGCCUAUCUACAUGCUUUGCUCAUAAAAUUAUAAAUGAUCGUUCGUAAGCUUCUUAAAAAACAUGUAUCAUCCGCAACCAUCUAUCUAUCAUCAAUACGUACUUAUUUCCAUAUGUUUCCUUCUGUGUCUAUAUAUUUUGAUGCACACUCUUCCAAUAGUUGGCUUGCUCUCGGCCUUUGCGCCAUGGGCGCAACGGGUCAUCUAGUUGAA
rnacentral:rRNA from 1 species